rnacentral:rRNA from 1 species
AAGGUCUCAAGCGUUGUUCGGAUUUACUGGGCGUAAAGCGUCUGUAGGCGGAGUGGUAAGUCAGAUGUGAAAUCCCGGGGCUCAACCCCGGAACUGCAUCCGAUACUGCCACCCUAGAGGGUCGGAGGGGAGUCUGGAAUUCUCGGUGUAGCAGUGAAAUGCGUAGAUAUCGAGAGGAACACUAGUGGCGAAGGCGAGACUCUGGACGACACCUGACGCUGAGAGACGAAGGCCAGGGUAGCGAAAAGG